rnacentral:rRNA from 1 species
GACGAACGCUGGCGGCGUGCUUAACACAUGCAAGUCGAGCGGUAAGGCCCUUCGGGGUACACGAGCGGCGAACGGGUGAGUAACACAUGGGUGACCUGCCCUCAGCCCUGGGAUAAGCCCGGGAAACCGGGUGUAAUACCGCAUAGGACCAUUGGAUGCAGGUCUGGUGGUGGAAAGUUUUUCGGCUGGGGAUGGGCCCGCUGCCUAUCAGCUUGUUGGGGGGGUGAUGGCCUACCAAGGCGGUGACAGGUAGCCGGCCUGGGAGGGUGACCGGCCACACUGGGACGGAGACACGGCCCAGACUCCUACGGGAGGCAGCAGUGGGGAAUAUUGCGCAAUGGGCGGAAGCCUGACGCAGCGACGCCGCGUGGGGGAUGACGGCCUUCGGGUUGUAAACCUCUUUCGCCAGGGACGAAGCUUUGGUGACGGUACCUGGAGAAGAAGCACCGGCCAACUACGUGCCAGCCGCCGCUGUAACAC